AUGCAUCCGUCAUCGCAAACGUUUUAUGCAUUUCACGGUUUACAUACAGCACCGUUUGCGAUUAUGGCAUCGCACACAGUUUCUCGAAGGGUCUCUGAUUGUAGUGUCGCGUUAGCAGCAUCCUGCAGUAGUGAGCUUUGUUCAACUGCUUUUUCAGGUCCAAUUCCAAUCUUCAUCACAAAUCUCACAAAGAUGGACAUUCUAACUCUCUGUGAAAAUCAAAUCACAGGCUCCAUCCCACCGGCAAUAGGCAACCUCACUAUGCUCAGUGAACUUUCUCUGUUUACAAAUCAAAUCACAGGCACAAUACCUUCAGAAUUGGGCAUCUUGUCGAAUCUCCAAAAUUUUGACUUGUCCGACAACCAAAUAUCUGGCUCUAUUCCUGACAGCUUAGGAAAUACUUCCAAGCUAGUAGUACUACAACUCUGGGAAAAUCAGAUAACCGGCUCAAUACCAAAAUCUUUUGGGAAGUUGCAAAGCAUCAAAGAAAUACAAAUCUUUAGUAACAAAUUAUCAGGUUCUCUUCCUCAAGAAUUUGGAGAUCUCAUAAACCUUGUUGUACUUGGGAUGUCUAACAACUCACUUUCAGGACCUUUACCCGCAAAUAUAUGUUCAGGUGGCAGACUUCAAUAUCUCAUGGUCUCUUCUAAUAUGUUCAAUGGCCCCAUUCCAAGGAGUUUAAAGACAUGUAUAGGUUUGGUUCAACUUCACCUUGAGUCAAACCAACUAACAGGCGACAUAUCUCAGCAUUUUGGUGUGUAUCCACAACUCACAGAGAUGCGCUUGGCAUCAAAUAGACUGUCUGGGCAGAUCUCACCAAAUCUAGGUGCAUCUUCCCUGCUAAUAGUACUGGAUCCGGGGGAAAAUGUGAUCACGGGUUCCAUACCUCCAAUCCUUUCUAAACUGCCCAACCUAGUAGAGCUAACACUCAAUUCUAAUAAUCUCAGUGGUGAGAUCCCACAAGAUAUCUCCACUUUAACAAAUCUAUAUAGCCUGAACUUAUCAACAAACCAGUUAUCUGGAUCCAUACCUACACAGAUAGAAAAGCUAAGCAGUCUAGAAUACCUUGAUAUAUCCGCAAACUUACUGAGUGGAUCAAUACCUGAGCAACUAGGGGCCUGCAUGAAACUAAGGUCCUUGAAGAUCAACAAUAACAACUUCGGUGGGAGUUUGCCUGGAGCGAUUGGAAAUUUAGCAGGCAUGCAGAUCAUGUUUGAUGUGAGCAACAAUAACCUCAGUGGCGUGUUGCCACAACAACUUGGGAAGUUGGAGAUGCUAGAAUUUCUGAAUUUGUCACAUAAUCAAUUCAGUGGCAGCAUUCCAUCCUCCUUUGCAAGCAUGGCGAGCCUUUCAACACUUGACGUGUCCUACAAUGACUUGGAAGGGCCAGUCCCAACAGCACGGCUACUCCAAAAUGCUUCAACAAGUUGGUUUCUUUUCAAUAAAGGUCUGUGUGGUAACCUUUCUGACCUGCCACCUUGUUAUUCAACUCUAGUAGCUGCUCACCAUAAACGGAAGGUAAUUGGUUGGCUUUUACCAAUUGCUCUUGUGGUGGGGUUCAGUAUUGUUGCUGCAAUUGGUGUCAUAAUAAUGUUUAGUUGUAACAAGAGAAAACCACAAGAAGGUGUCACUGCUGAAGCAAGGGACCUAUUCUUUGUUUGGAAUUUUGAUGGAAGAUUAGCAUUUGACGAUAUUGUAAGGGCAACAGAAGACUUCGAUGAUAAGUACAUCAUUGGAACAGGAGGAUACGGCAAAGUCUACAAGGCACAACUCCAAGACGGGCAGCUGGUUGCUGUGAAGAAGCUUCAUCAGACCGAAGAAGGGUUGGAUGAUGAAAGAAGAUUUCACAGUGAAAUGGAAAUUUUAUCACACAUCCGUCAACGAAGCAUUGUCAAAAUGUAUGGAUUCUGCUCCCAUCCAGUGUAUAAAUUUCUCGUCUAUGAGUACAUUAAGCAGGGAAGCCUCCACGGGACAUUGGAAAAUGACGAGCUAGCAAAGGAAUUAGAUUGGCAGAAGAGAAUUACUCUUGCAACUGAUGUGGCUCAGGCAAUAUCUUAUUUGCACCACAAAUGCAGUCCACCUAUAAUCCAUCGAGAUGUCACGAGCAACAACAUUUUACUUGAUACAUCCUUCAAGGCUUUUGUCUCGGAUUUUGGCAUAGCAAGGGUUCUUAAGCCUGAUUCGUCAAACUGGAGUGCACUAGCAGGAACGUAUGGCUACAUAGCUCCUGAACUGGCGUACACAUCUGUUGUGACAGAGAAAUGUGAUGUCUACAGCUUUGGGGUGGUUGUGCGGGAGCUACUGAUGGGGAAGCAUCCAAGAGAUCUACUAGAUGGUAGUUUCUCAAGCGGGGAACAAGGCAUGCCGGUGAAAGAUAUUCUGGACCAACGGCCGAAUACGCCAACAACAACAGACGAGAGUAGCUUAGCUCUGGUCAUCAAGGUGGCAAUUUCUUGUUUGGAAUCUUCUCCACAAGAAAGGCCAACCAUGCGGGAGGCAUACCAAACACUCAUCCAGCGACCCUCUUCUAGCUCCUGCCUCGUGCCUUUCAGUGCACUUACAUUACAGCAAGCGAUGCAUGUUGAUAUAUGA
rnacentral:rRNA from 1 species